rnacentral:sRNA from 1 species
UACAAAGCAGUAGAUAGUUCAUCAAUGAGAGAAGACCUUUUCAAACAGUACAUUGAAAAAAUAGCCAAGAAUUUAGACUCAGAAAAAGAAAAGGAGCUUGAAAGGCAAGCCCGCAUUGAGGCAAGCCUUCGAGAACGAGAAAGGGAGGUUCAAAAGGCCCGUUCAGAACAAACGAAAGAAAUAGAUCGAGAGAGAGAGCAGCACAAACGAGAAGAAGCUAUCCAGAAUUUCAAAGCUCUUCUGUCUGACAUGGUACGUUCUUCAGAUGUGUCAUGGUCUGAUACUCGUAGGACCCUCCGAAAAGAUCACCGCUGGGAAUCUGGAUCCUUAUUGGAAAGAGAGGAGAAAGAGAAGCUUUUUAAUGAACACAUUGAAGCACUUACCAAAAAAAAGAGAGAGCACUUUAGGCAACUUCUGGAUGAAACUUCUGCAGUAAGAAUCUCUUAUUUUUCUCAUUUUAAUCUGGAUGAAUCUUGUUAGUAAUUUCUUAAAGCAAAGCAUUGAUAUGAUUUUUAGUGUCAUGGUCUUUAGAUUCAUUACUGGAAUGCAUCUUAUGACAAUUCUCUGAUUUUA